CUCGAGGAGAAGGCCUCAUUGGGCCUGGACAGUGAAAGAAGGGUUGGGUGUGGCCAAGCUGGCCUGGUGCAUAGGGCACAUGUCCCUGAGAGUAGAGUGUCCUUGAGGGCCUGCGUGUGCUGGGUAUGGGGCUGGGCACAGUGAGGCCUUGGGGAAGGAGGUGAGCCGGGGCUGGGUUCCGUGAGGCAGGGCUGUGUCUAGACCCCCUGCUGUGGAAGGGCACCUGACUCCCCUUCCCACGAAGGUGAGGCCUGCCCCGGUCGCUCCAGCUGUCGGCAGGAGGGAAACCCAGGAGCCCCGUGUCCUCCAUCUGGAGGUACAGGACUCCGGGCAGCUGCUUGGAAAAGGAGGGGGCUGCCCAUGGUGCACAGCGGCUCUGGGAGAGGGUGCACGGUGGAUGUGGCCAGGUACGGUGGCCGAGAUCAUGAGGACAGCGGGACUUUCGUCGAUCUACCUGUCAGUGGCGAUGUACAACCCCCAACCUGCUGAGGGGCAGAGGCUCAGAGGCCAGUAACCAAAAGGUAGACACUGGCAGAUGCCGGAGGUGGGCACUACACCUGACUUCCCUCCCCAUGACUCUCGGCAACCCGGCAAGACCCUUACCACACAGACGCCACUCCGAGGGGAGGGGGUCCUCAGGCGUGUGUGGCUGCCUUCUCAGCCCCUGAGGUCCCGCAGAAGUGCCCCAUCUUACAUGCAAGAACUCUUAGGCAGAACAGGGGCUUGAGAGACCAAUGAAGUUUUGACGUUUGCUGAGACAGAACUAAGGUGACUUUUUUUGGCUCACUUUUGUACUUUUUUGAAGACUCUAGGUGCAUUGAAAUAGUUGUGCUUCCCAGUGUGAAAUAAUUUGCCAGGAAAAAUCCUCAGAAAUAAAUGGUAAGCAGUGUGUAUUGUUUACUGGAAAGGUUGGCGAGUGGAGGAACUGCACCUUCAGAGGGCUCACUCGCCGAGAGCACUGCACUGGACGCUUGGUGCAGUGCAUCUGAUUUCAUUCUCGCAGUAACUCUCUAAGUGUCUGCAGCCAGUGUAGGAGUGACUUCCCACAAAGUGUUAAGCGACAGUGAGACGCUGGCGGUUUUCCAGGGCACUGAGGCCGUGGGCAGGCUGGCUGGCCCCACCAGGGGAAGUGUUUGCAGUCCUGGUCGAUGGGCACACAAGCCUGAAAAUGUUUCUCCUGUGUGCUGGUGCAGUCCGGCUAUUUUUGAAGAAUGCUUGCUCUUGUUAAACAAAGCCUGAGCCCUGUUGGGAUGAGGCUGUUUUGAGCUGAGGCAGAGCUAGAAAGACAAGGGUGAAACACUGUGGAGAACCCUCAUGGAUCCUCUAAUCUGUGCAUGAUCUUGGAGGCCACACUUACACUGACUGCCACCCCCACACUGCUGGGCACCUGUGGCUCAAACGUUUCUCACCGUCUGCCACCUGCAUCCCUCGGUCUCGCCCUUGACACUGCAGGGAGGAGCUGAACCCCUGUGCUGUGAGCACUCUUCAGAUGGAUGAGGAUGUAGCAGCAGCCUCCCCCAGGCUUCUCAUCACCUCUGCCCUUGUCGCACACUCCUGUUAAGCCCAUAUCAAAUCAUUCCAUGCAUAAAACAAGUUGCCAAGGAGAGAGACUUACUGCUAUUUUUUUUUUUUAAAAAAGACCCGAACCCUUCUGUUUUUGUCAAAGUACACAAUGGAGUAGAAAUUUUGGAAAAUAGAGGAAAUAGCUUUAAAAAUAAUCACAUAUAAUCUCCCAGGCCAGAGAAAACUACUGAGAAUGUUUCACGGUACAUCUCCGUUUCUUCCAGUGCAUAGAAUUAGCUUCUACAUGGUGUUAAUAGUAUUGUAUUGUACUUAUUGCUUUAUAAUAUCCUUUUAUAUUUUAGAACAUCCUAGACUUUUUCACAAUUUAUUAAGUAUUCUCUAUGACAUUGGUUUCGUGGCUUUAAGCAUUUCUGCUGGAAGAGCCCUUGAUCACUCUCCAUUUCUUUCCUUUUCAAAUUUUCUUUCACGGCAUGCAUUGCCAUCUGCCAUUUUACGAUGUAUUUAGUGAUUUCUUGUCUGUGUCCUCAGCUAAAAUAGAAGCUUCAGCAGGAUAGGGUCUUUGCUGGUUUUGUCCACUGUUAUAUUAAAAGAACACAGAAUAAUAAGUGACACAUGGCAGACGGUCCACAAAUAUUUGUUGGAUACAUGAGUGGCUUUAAGCAGUCAUCCACUGAUGGACACUUGAAGUGACUAUGCAAUACACUACAUUGUAUGUAAAUCUUUUUGCUGUUAAAGCAAAUCUUCAGUGUGACCUUUCCAGGUCAAAAAGUAUGGAUUUUAGUUGGC
rnacentral:lncRNA from 10 species